GGUUAAACUUUAAUUUAAUAGUUUAUACAACAAAUCGGCGAUAUUUGUACCUACACUGAUUUGGGAAAACCCAAUGCCGGAUUACGACUUAGUACACUAGCAAGAUUAUUUGUAAAACACAUAGAAUAAUAUUUCUGAGAUCAACCACUGAGGAUUGUUUGGCUUGAUGCAAUGACCUUAAACAGUUAAAGGAUUUUCCAGGAAGGUAUAUACACCACAAGCUGGAUUGUUUGGGGUGAUGAAAGAACUAUGAAUAUGUGAAUGGGAAUGAAACAGAAGGAAUUAAUAUGUUCUACUGAUCAUCCAGCUGAAAUCGUGCCUAUGGAAUAGAGUGCAUGUCACAAAUACUGAUAUGAGCAAAUUACUCCAUAUUGCACAAAUAAGGUCAUGUUUCCUGCCCUCAUGACCUCAAAAAGUUAAACAUUCUAAUUCAAAUUACAAAUGUGUUUCAAGAAAAAGUAAAACUGUGAGAAAUAUUGGGUAAAAGUAUUUAAUAAGUGUUUUGUUGCCAUGACAGCUGUGAAGUGGUUUGAAAAGCACUAUCUUAAUUGUUCUAACAAUACAGAAUUUAACUUAUGAAUUUUCCAAAACUGCAUGCAUGAAAUACUAAGACAUGUCCGUUGAAUGAAUCCUAGUUGUUUCAAAACUACAACAUGUGUGACAUUUAAAGCACAACCUUUGGAUGAAAAAUUUUUACAAUCAAAACUGCCUUGCCAGUGUGAGUGUAGGAAGGAUUUUCCCAGAAAUGGCCAUGACAGAAAACUUCCAGUAUAGCAGAAAAUAUUUGUUACUGGCUAAAUAUAAUAUAUUUUAUUUCAAGAAUUAAUCAUGUAAAUCCAUGGUUAUAAUUGUGUUAAAAGAUAUUUUUACAUGAACUUUGCAGAAAUAGCUAUUUUUUGUUGCAAAACAUUGUCAGUUGCCAUGGUAACACAAAUUUGACUUAAAUUUAGAUUUGUUUGAUUACGUAGACAGCAUGUUUCUUGUUUAUAUUCUACUAAUCAGACUGUUCUGCAAGAAAAUAUCUUUUAUGUGUAAUCAUUGCAUUAACAAAACAUGUCAUAACACAAAUCUGCCAUAAAAUGGCAGAGUUGUAAUGCAGGUAGGCAUAUCAGGAAAAUAUGUAGUUCUCAAAGUUAAAUUAUAUUACAUGAAAUAUGUUUUUUUUUUUUAUAAAUGAUCAUAAUUGACCAUUUGUGGUGUAAAACAAAUGUAUACUGAACAGAUGCUAAAUGAAUGUUCUGAUUCUUUCUGGAAAAUUUACAAAAAUACUACUGUUUUAAGAAAAUAAUGCAUUGUUGCCAUGGUAACAUUAAUUUGACUUUUAAAUUAUUUUGGAUAUCAUCAUAUGUAAACAACAUCUUUCUUGUUUAUAUGUUAUAUUUUUUAAGCUGUAUUAUGUUAGUGAAUAUAUUUUCGUAUGUAAUAAUUGCAUCAGCAAAGCACUUUGUUAUCACACAAGUCUGCCUUAAAAUGGCAAGAGUUGUAACUGAGAGAGGUGCAUCCGAAAAUUACGAUUUCUCAAACAAUAUUACAUUAAUUUGCAUGGAAUGAUGUCUCUUACUUUUAAAUAAGAAAACAGACAGCUUUUGAUGUAAAUAUAUGGAAAAACACUUCAAAUAUUCAAAUUAUUACAAAGAAAUUGACAAAAAUGUUAGUAUUUUUGUAAGAAAAUACCACAUUGUUGCCAUGGUAAUGUUAGUAUUUUUGUAAGAAAGUACCACAUUGUUGCCAUGGUAAUGUUAGUAUUUUUGUAAGAAAAUACCACAUCGUUGCUAUGGUAAUGAUUCACUGAUCCGUAUUAUCUAAGUCUUCUGAAAUUUUAGCAAACUCACAGUUGAUAAUAACAGUCUAUAAUUAUAUCUUCUUGUCUGAUUUUCUUUCUUACUGUUUGAUAGAUAAGGUGUCUAUAACAAUAAGAUUAAUGUCCUAGUUUUUGGGAUGUUGUCUAAUUUGAUAUCAAAUAAAAUCUGAAUUUUGUUCAAAAGAAUGUCAUAAAACAGUUGUCUGUAAACUGUUUGCACACUAGAAAAAGUUAAUUGUGUAUUUAUUUCACAUUCUUUGUAAUGUAUUGCUAGAUUCAUCAUGAGACUGUUAAAAAAGAGGUUAAACAACAGUGUUGCUAUAGAAACGAUUUUUAGAACAUAAAUAUUUUUAUACAACAUGAAAGAAAGAGACAAAAAGAAAUACAUUCCAUUAAUUGCG